rnacentral:rRNA from 1 species
AACGUAGGAGCCAAGCGUUAUCCGAAUUCACUGGGCGUAAAGCGUGUGCAGGCGGACCGGUAAAGUUGGAUGUGAAAUCUCCUGGCUCAACUGGGAGAGGCCGUUCAAAACUGACGGACUAGAGGGCAACAGAGGAAGGUGGAAUUCCCGGUGUAGUGGUGAAAUGCGUAGAUAUCGGGAGGAACACCAGUGGCGAAGGCGACCUUCUGGGUUGUACCUGACGCUCAGACACGACAGCUAGGGGAGCGAACGGGAUUAGAAACCCCGGUAGUCCUAGCCGUAAACGAUGUAGACUUGGUGUUGGCGGGGUAAAAGCCGUCAGUGCCGAAGCAAACGCGAUAAGUCUACCGCCUGGGGACUACGGCCGCAAGGUUAAA